rnacentral:rRNA from 1 species
AGAGUUUGAUCCUGGCUCAGAUUGAACGCUGGCGGCAGGCUUAACACAUGCAAGUCGAGCGGAGAUGAGGUGCUUGCACCUUAUCUUAGCGGCGGACGGGUGAGUAAUGCUUAGGAAUCUGCCUAUUAGUGGGGGACAACAUUCCGAAAGGAAUGCUAAUACCGCAUACGUCCUACGGGAGAAAGCAGGGGAUCUUCGGACCUUGCGCUAAUAGAUGAGCCUAAGUCGGAUUAGCUAGUUGGUGGGGUAAAGGCCUACCAAGGCGACGAUCUGUAGCGGGUCUGAGAGGAUGAUCCGCCACACUGGGACUGAGACACGGCCCAGACUCCUACGGGAGGCAGCAGUGGGGAAUAUUGGACAAUGGGGGGAACCCUGAUCCAGCCAUGCCGCGUGUGUGAAGAAGGCCUUAUGGUUGUAAAGCACUUUAAGCGAGGAGGAGGCUACUGAGACUAAUACUCUUGGAUAGUGGACGUUACUCGCAGAAUAAGCACCGGCUAACUCUGUGCCAGCAGCCGCGGUAAUACAGAGGGUGCGAGCGUUAAUCGGAUUUACUGGGCGUAAAGCGUGCGUAGGCGGCUUUUUAAGUCGGAUGUGAAAUCCCCGAGCUUAACUUGGGAAUUGCAUUCGAUACUGGGAAGCUAGAGUAUGGGAGAGGAUGGUAGAAUUCCAGGUGUAGCGGUGAAAUGCGUAGAGAUCUGGAGGAUACCGAUGGCGAAGGCAGCCAUCUGGCCUAAUACUGACGCUGA